rnacentral:tRNA from 1 species
UGGGGGAUCGUCUAAUGGUAGGACAGCAGCCUUUGGAGUUGUUUAUCGGGGUUCGAAUCCCUGUCCCCCAG